UACGUAGGGAGCAAGCGUUGUCCGGAAUCAUUGGGCGUAAAGCGCGCGUAGGCGGCCUCAUAAGUCCGUUGUGAAAGUCAAAGGCUCAACCUUUGAAAGCCGAUGGAUACUGUGAGGCUAGAGUCCGGAAGGAGGCGAGUGAAUUCCUGGUGUAGCGGUGGAAUGCGCAGAUAUCAGGAGGAACACCAAUAGCGAAGGCAGCUCGCUGGGACGGUACUGACGCUAAGGCGCGAAAGCGUGGGGAGCGAACAGG
rnacentral:rRNA from 1 species